rnacentral:rRNA from 1 species
GACGAACGCUGGCGGCGUGCCUAAUACAUGCAAGUUGAGCGAUGAAGAUUGGUGCUUGCACCAAUUUGAAGAGCAGCGAACGGGUGAGUAACGCGUGGGGAAUCUGCCUUUGAGCGGGGGACAACAUUUGGAAACGAAUGCUAAUACCGCAUAACAACUUUAAACAUAAGUUUUAAGUUUGAAAGAUGCAAUUGCAUCACUCAAAGAUGAUCCCGCGUUGUAUUAGCUAGUUGGUGAGGUAAAGGCUCACCAAGGCGAUGAUACAUAGCCGACCUGAGAGGGUGAUCGGCCACAUUGGGACUGAGAAAAGGCCCAAACUCCUACGGGAGGCAGCAGUAGGGAAUCUUCGGAAAUGGACGAAAGUCUGACCGAGCAACGCCGCGUGAGUGAAGAAGGGUUUCGGAUCGUAAAACUCUGUUGGUAGAGAAGAACGUUGGUGAGAGUGGAAAGCUCAUCAAGUGACGGUAACUACACAGAAAGGGACGGCUAACUACGUG